rnacentral:lncRNA from 1 species
AAGUCCUGAAUUCUUGGUGCUAGCUAAUUGUAAUAAAAAGUGAAGCCAUAUCCAUGACUCCGGCUUCUAGUGAGAGAAGUUCAUGAGCAAGCAAGCACAAAACAAGUAUAGUACUGGUCAAUUCGAUUAUUUAUUUUUUCAUACAAGUUUCCACUCUGAUACACCAAUUUUUUUUAAUGAAGCUCUUGGGAGGCUCCGGCAGGAUCGGCGGUGACCGGAGCAGUUUGAAGACCAGAGCCGAGAGCUAGCAGAAAACCCUAGAUUGCUCUCAGAGGAAGAAGAAAGAGAAGUAGCAAUAAUAAUAGGUAGAAUUUAUUUGAAAAUUGGUAUUUAUAGUAAAGGAGGGAGAUGGAAGUAAUAAACGUGUUGUCGUUUUAAGGAAUUCUGGAAUUGGAAGUAUUUUGCAGAAAGAUGGAAAUGAAAUUUGUAUUUGGGGGAGUCAACAGUGUUUGAGCCGUUGAAGGUGAAUGAAGAAGAAGAAGAGAAAGAAGGGAUGCGUGACGUUAGGAUUUUGGAGUUCCCAAGAUAAAUAAAAGGGGUACUAUUUUAUUUUUAAA